UUACGGCCAUAUAGCGUUGAAAAACCGGCUCUCGUACGAUCGCCGAAGUUAAGCAACGUCGAGCCUGGUCAAUACCUAGAAAGGCGAACGUUUCGAAAUACCAGGUGCUGUAA